GGGUACGAUCAUACCAGCUCUGAUGCAAUGGAUCCCAUCAGAACUCCGCAGUUAAGUGUGCUUAGGCUAGAUUAGUACUAGGUUGGGUGACCUCCUGGGAAGUCCUCAUGUUGCACCCA
rnacentral:rRNA from 1 species